rnacentral:sRNA from 1 species
UAUUCUCCCUUCCUGGGGGGGAUGAGAAUCCCCGACCGGGGUUCGACAACGGGCAACUGCCCGCUGGACAGACCACGAAUAACAUGAGUGGGCUGCCCGCAGGGCGAGCGAAGCGAGUCAAUCCCCCCCUCACCGCCA